rnacentral:lncRNA from 1 species
CUUUAAACAAUUACCAGCUCACUCAGAUCUUCAGUACAGAACUGAUCAAGUGAACUCCAGCUGUGUGAGUUGAAUAUUGCAUCUUACAUUACAUCUACAGAUUUCCUCUAUCUGUAGUUUACAGACUGGUUUUUGUCUGGGUAAGCUCCUGUCACUACUGAAGCAAGAAGAUGAAGCAGAAUCCUGUGAAAAAGCAGAGGAAGGAGCAGGGCAGCAAUGGCUUGUCUUGCUGUGGAGCUAUUUGAGUUAUCAUUUUUCACAGUGCCCCAAGGAAGGAAGCUGAAAUGUGAAUAGGACUCUCAUCCCAUACAAGUUGGCUCUUGGUAAGUCUGUGAAGAUGAUGAAUGAUUCAGCAAGACUAGUUGAAUUUAUCUAAGGGAUUUACAAGCUGGUACAUUUUGCUGGACAAGGUCUGUAUUUUUAUGUGAUCUAAAAAACAAUAUGAUUUUCAUUCAAAUUGAUGCACAGCCACACAUUGCAGACUGUAUUAUUCAUUUAUUUUGC